rnacentral:rRNA from 1 species
UGAGUGAAGAAGGCCUUCGGGUUGUAAAGCUCUUUCGCAAGGGAAGAAAACUUACACAAUAACACUGUGUGAGGCUGACGGUACCUUGAUAAGAAGCACCGGCUAACUACGUGCCAGCAGCCGCGGUAAUACGUAGGGUGCGAGCGUUAAUCGGAAUUACUGGGCGUAAAGCGUGCGCAGGCGGUUUGGCAAGUCAGAUGUGAAAUCCCCGAGCUCAACUUGGGAACUGCGUUUGAAACUGCCAGACUAGAAUAUGUCAGAGGGGGGUAGAAUUCCACGUGUAGCAGUGAAAUGCGUAGAGAUGUGGAGGAAUACCAAUGGCGAAGGCAGCCCCCUGGGAUAAUAUUGACGCUCAUGCACGAAAGCGUGGGGAGCAAACAGGAUUAGAUACCCUGGUAGUCCACGCCCUAAACGA